rnacentral:lncRNA from 1 species
AUUCUCCAUUAAUAACAAUUUUGACUGCGGUAACUCAACAAAAUUGGAAAUUACAACCAUUUUACUAGAUAAUAGAAUUACUUGUACAAGAUUUGUAAAAAUAAAUAAAAAAUACAAAUAAACGAUGCCUGGCGGAAAGAGUGGAAAAUCCUGCCAACAGCAUAGCGCUAAACACCACGGUGGGCAGCAUCAAGGCCAGAAUUGCGCUAAACACCACGGUGGGCAGCAUCAACACACCAAGGCUAACAAAAUCUUAAGAAAUCAUGCGCCGUCCUAUUAUCACCAAUCGAAAGCACCAAACAAUCAAGGCAACUAUUAAUCGACUUAUCUGAGGUCUACGAUGUCUCCGGAUAGACAAAUAUUUAUUGUGCAACCAAACUGACGUAAAAGCAGAAGCCAACAAUGCCCAAAAGAUACAGUGGAAUCUGCAACCGUAUCACAUUUAUGAACUGACAAACUUUUGGACACAUACCCUUCUUGACCUUGAUUAACUGGGCAACACGCAUUUUAAAGAAUUACGUAAAGUGUUAUGAACACCUUUUAUCAUCCAGUAUAUUGUUACUAUUGUUUAAUAACACAUACACCAUAGGCAUUGUAUAACUUUGUGCUAAGUUAAAGGACGCUGUAAGAGUUACAAUAGUAUCAGCAGCGGUAAGCUGAACUUCACUAUGAGGUAUCCACUAUCAGCAUAUUGUGGCUGGGAUUAAAGCUGGUCUUCGACAUAAUCUACCUUAAUACUAUUAUUCAUUUGGUGGACAAAUUUGAUACAAUAUUUGAAUUUACUCUAAUUAAGUUUAAACGCAUGUUGAGUAUUUUAAAUAUUAGUUUAAUAAACGCAUCGACUUAAGUUUAAAUUUACUGAUUUUAGCUACAAAAUGUAUACGCUUUAAUAAAGUAUCUGCAGUAGAGCCUUGAUCAGAUGUACUAUCAGUAAAAAAGAAAGGAAAUUACCUGAAGAAAUUAAAUAGAAUGUUGAAUAGCUCAUUUGCCAAGAUUAAAUAAAUUAUUAGCUUUCAACGAGAAACCGAUCAAAAAAAAAAUAACAGACAUUUUGCUACACAAAUCCUUAGCUUUUUAACAUGGAAGUUAUUUUUAAAUUGUCCGAAAAUUAACGGAAAUUGUUUUUCCUUAUUCAAAUUUUUCAUUUGAAGUUAAUAGCUUACUUCAAUAUACAAAUUAAGCAAUUCAAAAAUCAGAAAUUAAAAUUUAUAUUUUUUAGAUCAUGACUGAUAGUACACAUUUAGCUACACCUCUUUAAAUAGCAUAUUGAGAUUAAUCCCGAGUUUUUCUUUGUAAUUUUAGUCAUUUUAUAUCUAUUAUUGUUUAUUUGCUUUGUACUAUAAAUAUCAAAUAUUUAAAUUUUCUAUAAUUCUCAAACUCCUUUAUAUGCAUUAUGGUAUUAUAGAACAUUAAGAAUGAAAUAAUGAUCUAAAUUAUCGUUACACCUUUUUAUGUUUAUCCACAAGAAAUAUAUUCUAUGAAAUUGAAAUAUAAGAAUUAUGGUUGAGAUAUAAAUAUAUAGACAUUUUAGAAUCCAGUAUCACUUCAUAUAACGCUAUAAUUCUACAUAUGAAUGUGUGGGGUGGGGAGAGGAAGCAAUGGAUUAUAUAUGCGAAUUAAAAUGAUAUCUAUAAAUAAUUGGCUUAUUGAUAAUAAUUUAACGUUACAUUUAGGCAAAACAGAAUUUAUAUUAUAUGGUACACGAAAUAUGUGUUGGAAACAAUCAAAACUGGAUAUUACCUUUAAUAAUUUCAAUAUUUUGAUUUUGCAAAUUAGGAUAUUACAGUAUACACGUUGUUGUAGGAGAAUUAAUCUAUUAUAUACUACUAUAGGCGAACGAAUAAAAAUGUAAAAAUCCAAUCGUUAAUAAGCCACUGAUCUGUUUUAUGCUUUUUACUUGUUUAUAUAUAAAUAUGAAGGAAACCGUUUUCUUUUAUUACGUUAAGUUGGAAAUAUACUGUAUAGAUAUUGAAAUAUGAGACUCAAAAAAUUUGUAAGACAAUUGAUGUGACUUCAAUAAUUUGUAUCACCCAACGUUACAUGAUGUGGGCAACGAAUGAGGAAAAUGACAAGAUAAGAAGAAGCAAAGUAAUAGGUAACAAUUAGAGAAAACACGAAAUUUCACAUGACGGUGAAAGCUAAAAAGUGGCAGAAAGUUGUGAACAGGCAGUUUAGUUGCUUAUAUUGAUGGCAAAUUGAUGUUUCCUUAUUGUAUUACAUCAGGAUAAUUCUAUACAAAGGUAUGAAUCACGUGAGGGAUUGGGACGGAUAAAAUGUACUUAAACAGUAUUUUCAAUGAUAUCUGUUUUGGCUAGUCAGGUGCACAUAACAUAAACAUACUCUCCAAUUACUGCGACUUACCAUACAAAAAAUAAACUCUUUUCAAUGAGUG